GAUUAGUUAGCUCAGAUGGUUAGAGCACGGUGCUAAUAAUGCCAAGGUCGUGGAUUCAAUCCCCACACUGAUCA